rnacentral:rRNA from 1 species
UACGGAGGGGGCUAGCGUUGUUCGGAAUGACUGGGCGUAAAGCGCACGUAGGCGGAUCAGAAAGUUGGGGGUGAAAUCCCGGGGCUCAACCUCGGAAUGGCCUUCAAAACUCCUGGUCUUGAGUUCGAGAGAGGUGAGUGGAAUUCCGAGUGUAGAGGUGAAAUUCGUAGAUAUUCGGAGGAACACCAGUGGCGAAGGCGGCUCACUGGCUCGACACUGACGCUGAGGUGCGAAAGCGUGGGGAGCAAACAGG